rnacentral:sRNA from 1 species
UACAAUCGAAUCGGCUCCUCAAGGGUGGUCGACUCAUCCCCUGCAGAAAGGGGGUGAGAUCGUGACAGUGUACGAAGCACUUUCGUUGAUGCUUGCUUUCAGUCUGCUUAUCGUGUGUGGGCUGUCAUUCCACCAAAAGAAGCAGACCGCCCUUGAGCUUGUGGGAAGCCUGGCGGUCUACUCACUAAUCCUAUGAGCCGCCCCCCUUGUGGGGAACGUCUAUUGUGCAACGGAGACCCAUGGCGUUGGCCGACGCCUGUG